GAGAGAGAGAGAGAGAGAGAGAACAACCCUAGAAAAAUUUGGGCUGAAAAGGGUUUGUAGAAGAGGACAGUUGGAGAGACCCUUCUGCAAUCCCUUCAUACAGUGAGAGUAUCUCAGUUGACUUGAAGUGGGGGUGAGGUUACUCUUACAUCCUACUCUCUCCAUCAAUUCCUCAUGUAACACCAGAAGCGCCAUCUUCUUGCUGUUUGCAACCCUUCAGAGACAGGCAUCUAACUACCUUCUAAAGCAGUGUAUCCUGUUGUCACAAAGCUUGAAGUGGCGGUAUCUAGGACCAGAGACCUCAUACCUCAGUAACAGGAUCACAGGCUUCCAGCAUACCCUGUGCUUGCUGUUUUGAUUAUCACACUGUGCAUUAGGCUCUGCCAGUAAGUAAUGCAGACUCUGAAAUGUGCAUCAAUAAGGAAGGCAGACUGUGUGUCUAGAAAAAGCACAAAUAAAGCAGUCGUGCCACGGUCUUCACAGUUUACUACCUGGGGAAAGCAAUCCUGUGCAUGUACCUGGUGGGCUAAGAGGAAGGUUGCCUAGAGAAAAAUUAGAUGAUAUCUGGGAAAGCAUUUGGAAGAACUUGAGCUUGCCUUCACAUAAACAACAUGUCGUAUUAGUCAGAGUAGCAACAGUGAGAGCCAUAGCAGGACCAUGAAGGUAGACUGGAGGGAAAGAGGCAUCAGGCUACUAAGAAACUGGGAGAAAAGUGGGGGACAUACAUUUGGGGAGGCAGGGGAGCAUGGGACCCAGAGGGUCUGUCUGGAAGGUCAGAGCCUCUCAGUCAGAGAGCAAACAUUCUGAAAACCACCGUCCUGCUCAUAAUAAUGCUACCCCAGUCACCAAACACCUUCUGCUAUGUUAGGUAAAUCUGGGCAUCACCCUUAAUUUUGUCCCCCCUCUGCUCCCUCCCCAUCUGUUGCCAAGGCUCUAAAGCCUUUCUCUUAAACCCGAGGAGGCUCUAUGAAGUGAACAUUGCUCACAAUUUUUUUAAUUAAAAUGAACUAAGAGGCUUUUAACAGGUAAAGUGAUGCGAAGCCUUCGCUGUGAAGGUCUCUCUGUGUCACUGGGCAUCAUUUACCAAUUCAAGGGAAGAUGUCCUUCUCAACAAAUGAGGCGUUAAGACUCAAUUUCUGGAUCAUUGGUGGCACCAGGAAUGAACUAAAAGGGAGACAUAUCCUUUGUUGUAAGGACCCUGUCUUCCCGCACCUUUGAAGGACAGCUACCCCUCAAGAUAGAUCCUCUACCCUUUUAACUCCAUUCAUCUGGUUCUUGAUGCCACGAUGAAGCCACCAAGCAUGAUGCAUCAACUGGUUUUAGUCUUGGGCAACAAUGAAGCCACCCUGAAUCUCCCUUUACAAGGUAGAAGUGGACGUGGGAGGUAGCAUAUUCAUACAGGGGGCAGGAAUCUGGUGAGGGCUUUCUCUUAGAGUGUGUGUGUGUGUGUGUGUGUGUGUGUGUGUGUGUGUGUGUGUGUGUUUGUGUGUGUGUGUGUGUUUGAAUAUGCUUGUCGGAAUUUGUGCAUGCCCACGUGUGUGUGUGUGUGUUUGUGUAUGUCCACAUUCAUAUGUUUCUGCGUGCUUGUAUAUAGUUUUGUUUGUGUGUAUGUAUAUGUUUAUAUUGCCUCCAUAUGCCUGUGAAUGUGCCCGAAGCAGAAACCAGGCAACUAAACUAUUGCUUGUCACCUCCCUCACCCCCUGAGAUCUAAACCUGGAAACUAGGAAACAGUAUGACCCCCCACGUCAUAGAAAUCAUUGUUGUGAAGACUGUGCAGAAUUCAGGGCACACUGUUCAUUUUCUGGGACCAGGAGGGCUCAUGGUUUGCCCACAGACCUUUGAUGUCUGACAGCCUUUUGUCUCCAGUGCUGAUCACAGCAGCCAAGCCCAGUGUCAUUUCCCUCCUGGAACAGCUCCUUUAAGUGAGCUUGGAGCCUCUGCUGCCCUCCUAGACAUGUCGGGUGUCUGCAUUAGUCUACCUGCGAGUCUAUGUGUAUUUCUGGAAUCCAAAUUCAAAUGUCAGCUUUCCUAAGCAAAUCAGUGUGUGUGGCCCAUGUUGAGUUGUGAAAUUCUGUUUGUGGCCAUUAUGAUUGUGUUUGACAUGGGCUCAGUAGGCGAUGCACUUUUUGAGCAAGCCUAAUGACUGGAGUUCUAUCCUGGAAAGCCACAAAGGAGGGAGAGAAUGGACUCUACAGAAUUGUCCUCUGACAUCCCUAAAACACUAUCUAGCCGUGAAAGGCACUGGGUGGUUGAGCUAGCAGCUUGUUCCCCACUGGAGUCUUCCCACAAACCCCUGCCCUCUCAGUUCCAAACUGCUUCCUCCCUCACAUCAACAGAGCACUUCCUCCCAGUUCUCCACAGGCUGCAGGCUACCCCUUCCUGCUCAGUCCUGGUCUGAGACGACAUCUAUGACCACAAGAUAAUGAGAGCUUAAAGCUUAAAAAUCAGAAGUAAUCUAUCUGGGGCCAGCUGAAUUUUCCUGGUUGCCAUGCAGGCAUCUACCUAAAACUGGUGCUUUUCCAUGACUGGGCACUUAUUUUAUAUGUCCAUGAGACAGUGGCUGUUCAUCUGAGAUUGGGGGAAUGAAAGAGACUCUACUCUUUUCUGGGGCUACAACAUUUUAGGUCCCUGCAUUUCAUAUAUGUGUGUAUGGAGGGUGAAGUGUGAAACAGAAAUAAGCUUUGGAAUAAAACCCAGGCCCCAGGCUUUCCUCUAUAGCAGCGGUUCUCAACCCAUGGGCCUCAACACCUUUUGGGGCUGAACUACCCUUUCACCUAAGACCAUCCUGCAUGACAGAUAUUUACAUUAUAAUUCGUAACAGUGGUAGAAUUAUACUUGUAAAGUAGCAAAUUAAAGGGGGUGCGGCAUUAGGAAGGUUGAGAAUCACUGCUCUGUAGGAAGGCUCAGUCUCUCUGGACACGGUGUGGGUAGCUGCCUUUUGUGAGAACAGCAUGAAAUACUGUGUGUUCAUAUCCAGUGCAACACUUACAUAUAAUAGGUGCUCAAUAAUGGCAAGUUUUAAUUAUGAUUUAUGAGUGCCCCUGAGAUGUGAGGUGCUAGGUGAGGUAUGACAUCUAUAAAAAUUUAUUCUACAUUUGGGCCCAGAAUUCAGACUCUUAAUCACCAUGACAAUGGCUCUAAGCCCUAGCUGACUCCAAAAACUGUCCAGAGCCUUGACUUCUCCCUAAUUACAGACUUCAGACAUUAAAAGAUUCUGAUCUAAUGAUUUGGGACAGGACCUAGAAAUCUGUAUUUUGUACAAUCUGCACAAAUGAACCCAGUGGUCAAGCAGGGAUGAGAAAGGUUACAGAGCCACCUGUAUUCACCUAUAAAGUCAGACAUUUUUAAAGAUAGGAUGAUAACAAAGUCACUGGCAGGGCUGGAGAAGUGACUCAACAGUUAUGAGUACUUAUUGCUCUUGCAGAAGAACUGGGUUCUGUUCCCAGUACCCACGUGGUGGCUCACAACCAUCGGUAAUGGUAACUCCAGUUCUGGGGAUCCAACACCAUCUUCUGGCCCCUGAGGGCACCAGGCCCUUAAGUGGUAAAAAGACAUACAUUCAGACAAAGCACUCAUACACAUAAAGUAAAAUAAAUAAAUAUAAAAAAUUUUACCAGUACAUGGUUGAUGAUAUAAAGAGGUUUCCAAGGGCCACAAUGUAUCACAUGAGUGAAAGACAGGUGAGUGCCUUUGCAAAGAUUCCAGGUCUCUCUUAGGCAUUUUUCGUGCAGCUCUGCUGGGAAGUACAGCACCGAGGCUGUCUUAGAACUUGAAGGCCAGAUCUUAGAUGCACUUAGAGGUAGGAUAACAUCAUCCAUGACCCUUAGGGUUGAGAUUGAGAAAUACACAUCCACACCCAGAAUCCAAAUUAAGUCAACAGCAAACAGAUUUGGUAGGAAAUGCUUUGGUGUCAAGAAGGAUAACAUGCAGGGCAGAGGACUUGUCCUAAAUUGGGAGAUGUUAUAACUGAUGAUCAUGAGAACUAAGGGUUGAAAGACCAGCAUUUAUCUUUUUACAACUCCUUAGCAAAAAAAUGGAAGUUAUUAAUUAGUUGUCAAGGCUGAAGAUAAGGCUCCAAGGACUGAGAAUUUAGGCAAGUGAAUAAUCCCAAGUUUAGAUUUUAUGGAACUGGGGAGUCAUAGUGUCCCUUGGGAGUACCCAGCUGAGAGGUAAUUUCACCAAGGGACAGAAGACAGGCACAGUCUCUCUAUUAAGAAACAGACCUGCUGGUAAGUUCAGCCACUUCCUCCUGACAGCAGCUCUUGUGGUUCUGAGGGAUUUGGGAGCUGGAAUCGGCCCUAGUCAGAGUUGUGUUUACUGGAGGAUGGGGAGGGAAGAAGAGAAGCAAGAUCGAUGGCAAGUUUGCAUAGUGAUUCAAGGCCGUGCCAAAGACUAAAGAUUCUUGGGAACUGGGCAGUCUGAACAUGGAGGAACGAAUUCAAAAACAAUGCUUAUAUCAAAAAAAUUUCAUGAGCAUAUCAGCACCAAAAGAGUAAAGGUUUUAUAUUUUCAAGUCAUCAGUUCCCACCAGCAUGACCCAGACAUAAACAACAGAGCACCAUGCUUGUCUAUUCAGAGUCCUUGUCAACCACUUCAUCGGGGAAGAGACAGCACGGGGAGAGAAGCAAUAGCUGCCAGAUGUUUGCUCUGCACCAACUAUGGUAAUAAUGCCCUUGAUUCCAAAUCUUGUUGUACCUCUAGGUUACCUGUGAAGCUGUAAGCAAAUUUAAAAGACUCUUUACAGUGUAUGGAGCUAGGACGUAGACAUGGGCAGUUUUAGAAGAGUUCUAGAUGAUUCCACAGGGUGGCUAACUUAGGAAACAACUGACUUCACACCUUACUCUUUUAAUAUAAAGAACAAUCCUGUGAAGCAGGCAUAAAAAAACAUAAAAGCCUUGUUUUACAGAUGAAGUGACCUGGACUGUAAGAAAAUAGUCAUUUGUCCAAGGCUGGCCAACAGUUAGGCACUCAGCUCUGGACGAAGCGCUGCAGUGUGAUCAGAUGCUCAUGCCUAAUUCAUGGUGUGUUGGUUGGCUCAGUCUGCCAUAACAAGAGAUCACAGGCUAGAUGGGAGGCAGCGGGAAGUUAUUUCUCACAGUACUAGAGGCUGAAAAUCCAGACCAAGAUCUGACAGCCCAGCUUUCCGUUAGGGCUCUCAUCCUAGCUUCUAGAUUGCUGCCUUCUUACUGUGUCCCCAUGAUGGGAGGAAAAACAAGGAAGAGACAUUAGGAGAACAAAGAAAGAACGAUAGGGGAGGGGAAAGGAGAGAGAUAAAGAGAGGGAAGGAGAAUUCUAAUUUGCCUUUUCAGAAGGAGAAUCAUCAGAACAAAGCCUUGUCCUUGCAAACACAAUUAACAUUAUUGCCUCUUUAUGGUCUGUGUCUCCAAACACAGUCACACUGGGUGCUAGGUCUUCACUGUAAUCUUUUGGGUGAGAUAAGACUCAGUUUGUAGCAUAUGGAGUCUGGAUACUAUUGACUGUGUAGUAGGUAACUGGUAGCUACUUUGACUUAUAAGAAUAUACUCAUAUCACACAACAGUGGAUCGGCCCAUACAAGUUAUCUCCACCCAGAUGAAGAAAGGAUAAGGCAGGCUGAAAACUCUAGUUGUGUAGCAGAAAUUCAGGCUCAGAUGCUAGAAUGCAUUUCCUGAAAGAGACUGCUCAAGCAUAUUUAAACAAUAAAAAAAUUCCACAGAUUAUUUUAGCCUGUGCUUAUGAUAGGAGCUAACAAGAGUUUGAAUGAGAUGAAAUGAUUUUCAUGAAUCAAAAUACAUUCUUGGGAAGAUGGGGACAAUUUUAAGGAGCACUUUCACCUGUGUAAGACACUCUGAGAAUAAGAGAGAGGCACUUGGGCUCAUUCCAUGUGGAACUUGGCACUAUCCAGGCAUUCGGCACUCACAGAUUUCUCUUGCAUUUUUCCAAAAAUGAAGAAUAAUUCUUCAGGGAUCAAUGCCCCCUCAGCAGAAAGGAGUCACUGCCCAAAUUAGUUGUGGAGAUGGUAAGAGAAUGCCUCCUUACAGGAGUCCAAUGCCAGAGUAGAUGAAAAUACCUUUUUUUGGCAAUAAAACCAUUUUCAUUUUUACAAAUAAACAAGGGGAUGAAAAUUUAAAUAAAUAAAGGACAAACACAUACAUUAUGAUAACUGACCAUUAAAAUGGCUGAUUUAAAAAAAAAAAAAAAACAAGCAUCUGCUUCCCACCCCACUCAGGGACACACAUUGUUUUCUUACUCCUAGAUGAAAAUACUUUGAUUUCAUUUUUAGGUAGAACAAUAGAACCAUGAUCAUUAAGAAACAUAUCAAAUAUGACAGCCAAACCAGUAAAUAUAAUUUCAGAUUACAGCAAAGAGUGUCUGUCUUACGGAAGGGAAGUAAUGUUUAACAUGGAAACUGAAUCUUAACAAAUUAAGUAUGCCUAGUGUCGGAAAAGUUUACAAUAGAGAAUUAACAAAUAACAAGUAUUUUUCGAGAACAAUCCCUGGAAUUAGUAGAGAUUUGCUGUGAAUAAUUCUUGUACUUCAAAAACAAAGACAGAAGGAUAGUUCAAGAAAAUUCAAUAUAUCUAUUUGGCAAAUCAUUUGACAAUUAUUAGUGAUAUUGAGACAAAGAAAUAAGAAUUUGCUGGAAAUUUGGAUAUAUGAACUUUUUUUAAAAUUCCAAUAAAAUAUGUGUUCACUGGACCGAUAUUAACAAUGGGAAUGUCUCUAGUAAUCAUACUGAUAAUUGUAACAUAUUUCUUUACUGUAGAAGAAAACAGCCCCCAGAUGGAGUGGUACUUUUAGGAGGUGUUGCCUUGUUGGAGUAUGUGUGGUCUUAUUGCAGAAAGUAUGUCACUGUGGAGGUGGGCUUUGAAGUCUUAUAAAUGCUCAAGCCACAUCCAGUGUCUCUAACCAUUUCCUGUUGCUUCUGAGUCAAGAUUUAAGAACUCUCAGCUCCUUCUCUAGCACCAUGUCUAUCUACAUGCUGCCUUGCUUCCUGCUAUGUUGAUAAUGGACUAAACCUUUGGAAAUGUAAGCCACUCCAAUUAAAUGUUUUUGUCCUAUAAGAGUUGUUGUGGUCAUGCUCUUUACAGCAAUAGAAACUGGGACAUUUUCUGGCAUACUGUUUUCACUACACAUGCGCUUUUUAAGCAUCAAGUGUCCAUUGGACAGUUCCAUCUCAUUAGAUAUUUUUGGCACCAAGCAAACAUUUAUGGUGACAGAAAACUGGGAGGAACAAUGCUAUGUUGGAUUAAUUAUGCCACAGGGUAUUAGGAAGGGUCCAUGUGGCCUUCAAGCUUUUCUUACAGCCCUAGAAAUUCCUCCUCAAGAAAAUCUUUGGAAGAUAGAGUCAUUAUAGAAGAAGAGAGUUUCCACAACUGAUCAAAGUGAAAAGAAGAAGUGUCACUGGAGCACUCAGACACAAAUAGGACACAUACAUAUUCCCCUCCCAAAGGCUCAAGGAUCAUCUUGGAAGAAGAGACAGACAGAAUGUGAGAGCCAGAGGUCAGGAAGAGACAUGACAGGACCACUGCAUUCAUGAACUCACAGCAUCUGUGGGUACCUGCACAAGACCUAGGCUGCCAGCAUUCUAGCAUGGAGUAGGAAUGUGUUUACAAGCUCCUGCCAUUAACUGAAGAGCUAUGGGCAGCUGAAGACUUCUGGGAGAGGGAGAAUGUGUUCUCUUUAAGGGUGUGGUCCCUGGUAGGUCAAUCAUAUUCCAGUGCAUGUCUCCACACCCAGAAGUCUAAGUAGAGUACAAAUUGGAGAUGACAGUGUAUUAAGCAAAAGAGCACAUGAUGUUGGAAGGAAUAGGGAGGCAAAGUAGAUCUAGGGGGUUAAAGGGAAGGAUGGAAGGAAGUAAAUAUUAUCCAAACACAUUCUUAUACAAAAGUCUCAAAUAAUUGAUAAAAAUAAUUAAAAAAGAAGAGAGUUGGCUGAACUUAAAGUCUGAGUCACUGAAAAGGUUACAUCCAUGAAACUUGGAAGAUAAAGACAUCGUCAUUGCCAGCCCAAGGGUAGCCCUAGUCAACUGUUGACACAGUAGUGAUAGGCUAUAGUGAGUUGAGAUUCAUAGAUGAUAUGGGAGAAGAGAUCUGGUGGGGUGUGUGUAUCCCAUGUGAAUUUUCUCCAUGUUCUAUUGGGGAAGGCAGAAGAUGAAUGUUUCCAUAACAACUGGAAGGACAAGCCCUCCUUUAUAAUUAAGAGAAACAGACAUGUCAUCAUGCUACCUGGUUCCAUCCUCAGGCAGAGUUUCCCACCGUUCUUUGCUUCUAGAGAAGGGAUGCCCCUCAGUGUGCAAAUAGCCUUGCUUCUUUCUGUAGCACUCAUCCACAGGAAGGAGGAGUCGAGACUAGCUUCAGUUCAUCCUCCACUGUCUAAAGAGGGCAAGCAAUCACGACACAGGAGCCGUACUAAGACCCAGGACAGCACUGACCUCCAAAAGCUGGGAGCUGAGAAACAGCAGCCAGGUGAUAAUUCCAAGGAACCACUGAUGGAUCCUCAUCCCAAUGUACUGAGGUGGGGCAGCAGCUGCCUCUUGAAGAGUCAACAGCCUGAUGGGAAGGUGAGCCUGUCCUAGGCCACCUGCAUUUCCAUAUGCUCCCUCUGCUUUUUCCCCAGUGACAUGAUGACUCUCAGGGACCCACCCAUACAGUUCAGCCCUAAAUCUAUCCCAGAGGCUCGAUGAACAAAUGGGGACACUCUAGCAUAGUUUCUAAGCACUUGCUGGCUCUCCCAUUUUCUUUAGCUUCUUCUGACAUUUGAUGCAAAUACAGAGUCCUGGAAACCCUCUCUGACAUGACUACUAAAUCAGGAUUCCCAGAGGAUGAAGAAUAUGACUAUUUUACAAACUUCCUGAUAGGCACAUGGGAGUUUCUGAGCUAUGGGACUGUAGCAGGAUUUCCACUCAUACCUGGAUCAAGCUGGAUUCUGGAGCCAAUCAUCCUCACACUGCCUCAUGAAAACAUGGCUGUUUCUCCUACUGCACUUCGCUGAGGCCUCUUUUAUGACUAGGUCUUCCACAGAGCUCCCAUCAACGCGUCUGUCCACUAUCAGUGGCCACUAUCAGGCUCCGAGGAGAACUUGAGAAUAGUCAGACUUCGAUGGACAAGGCCCUCUCUGAAUCCUGAGAUGGCCUCGCGGUCCACAUUUCUGGCUGAAACAUGAAGGAAAAUGAAGACUGUUGCGAGCAGGCAGGAGAGAGAGGGCCCGGGCCUGGAAACAGCUCAGCAUCUUGCCCUUGUUACUAAUAAUCCUCCCAAAAUCACCAAAUGGUUUCUAGGCAUUAAAGUUAUCGUUUGCCAUAAACCCCUUGUCUGUUUUCUGGAGAGUUUAAUAUAUUGCAGGAAGUUUCACCCAUAAAAGGUGAUGGCUGUGCUCCUGUGAGUGAGGCAGGCGUCGGUAACUUAUGACCUUCAUAAAUGUGAGUGGGUCUCACGAGCGAGUCCAUCAGUCUUUGGAGUAAUUCUGCUUCGUAGUAAAAUAUUUUACUGUGCACACUCCUGUCAGCGUUUGCCUCAGUGAUGUCGAGACUUCCUCCUCUCUCUGCCUCUUGUUCGCUGCUCUUGCUCCGUUUUCAAUUAUCUCACUUCCAGGCUCCAGUCUGAGACCCCAAGAAUAAUCUUUGCUCUUUCAAAGCUGUGGUCCAGUUCGGGCUGAGCCCUCACUGGGGUUUGAAGAGCAGCAGAGCCAAUAUAGCGUUAUCUAUCACCGUGACGUUGGUGAUCUCCCCAUUCCAGAGGGAGAGGGCACCUGCAAAAAAAGCCAUCACUUCAGCCAGGGCAAGGCCUUCGAUAUCAAAGGGGACUGUGUCUGAGGGUGUUUCCCGGGCUAUAGAGUGUUCUAGAUGUGUCAGCCAUCUUUAUUACCUGGCUUGUAGCAUUAGCAUAGCAGUUAACCGUUCACUUUAUAGUCCCAGAGAUCUAAAUAGAAUUUAUCGGAGUCACCGGCUUAACAUUGGCCCAGAAAAGGACUAAAUGCUUUUCAGGCAUUUUGGAGUAGUAGGGAAAAAUCUGCUGUCAGCAAGUUCAAGUCUCUGCUCCACCUCCAGAUACUCCUGUGGUAUGGGUAAAUUAUUCACUUUCUGUAUACAGGCAUACCAUGAUUCUAUAAUAUUGCAUAUCAAUGUCACAGUAAUAUGCAAAUUCAAUAUAUUAUACCCAGCAAAGUCUAUAAUGCAUGCAUAGGUCCAAGAGGCACCUUGUACCCCAGAAACAAGCACAGUUAUUCUUGUCAAUUAAAGAUAAAAUUUGAAGUGUUAAAAAAUAAACCAGCACACCCCUCCCCCAUCCACCUCCCAGAAGUACUGGAAAUGUUUUCAUGGUAAGGAGUAAGGGAAUGAUGAAGACUUAAAGGGAGUAAAGCCACGUGAGAAAUGAGAAUUAAUAAAGGAUUCUCAGAACAAAGAAACAGCCGGGUCUAAGUAGAGCAUGUGUCUACUGCUCUCAACUGUUAGUGCUAUCUUGGGGGAAACAGGCAGCUCGGAGCUGCUGUGUGGCCAUGUUCAUGUCAGAGAGGCAAGGUGAGGGUGAAGUCAGGGAUGGUUUGUAUGCCCAGCAAACUACUAUUUUAAGAAAUGACUUGAAGUUCUUGGGGAUUCAGCUUAUUUUUUCAUUCAACAAAUAUGCGUUGAAUGUCUACUAUGUUCCAGGCAUGAUGUAAGUGUUUGAGAACAAGGCAAAGAUCUCUAUCCUUGAGGCCUUCAGCCUGAGGGAGGAAGUUGUCAGCUGGGGUAAGGAAUUCUUCAGUGUGGGGCCUAAGGUAGGAGAGGUUCUACCCUCUUGUUGGAUCUCCAGAACUAAGGGUCUAUAGACUCCGGGACUCUGUAAGUCCAUCACUCCUUCCUGUCACCUCCCUCCCAUUUCUGUCUCAUCAUAUUUGUAUUGUAGAAUGGGGUGUGCCUGUCCUGAUCUAUUAUUUAUGAUUUAAUAAAUUUGCCUGAGGAUUCAGAAAGCAAAGUCAGCCACAAGCUAUAGAGGUCAGGCAGAAACCAGAGUAACAGAUCACACACCUUUAAUCCCAUCACUAGAGGAGUAUAAAAGACAGAAGCAGCGGCGGCUUCGGUAUUGAGCAGGAGGCAUUCAUUCUCCAGCCACACUGAGGAGAGGUUACAGUCUGAGGCUUGGUGAGAGCUUGUGGAGACAGGAUCAGCCCAUUCGUCCUGAGAUAGAGGUAAGAAGCUAGUGGCCAGCUGCUUUGCUUUUCUGAUGUUCAGCUUGAAGUUUGAGCCCCAACAUCAGUCUCUGGGUCUUUUAUUUAUCUUGUUACAUGUGCCCUAAAGCAUUCCAGGGCAAAGCAAGCAGUCACUAGCAUAGCAUGACUUAGAAUUCACUUUCAGAUUUGCUUCUAAAGAACUUUUAACAAGUUUCUUAGAAGAUUUUGAGUUAAAGCAGGAAAAGAGUAAUGAAAAAAUGAAGGAAAGAAAAAUGAUAACAUAUAAGUGGCAGGGAAUUGUUCUGAAGAAAAAUUACUGUUCCAUGGAAUUUUAAAGACUUUCAGAACCCACCUAUCAUCUCUUCGGAACUUAGAGCUUGCCUCUUGGCAUGCCCCCAAAAGUCUGGUUGUUGGAAAAGCAAUCAUAUAUUCCAUAAUGUAUAAUUUGGCUAAGCAUUUGCUUGCACUGGUCAGCUACUGCUAUGUAAUGAGCACACAUUGUCAGUGGUGUCUACAAAUAAGCAUUUACUUUAUAAAUAAGCAUCACAUCCCAGGGCUCUGUGUGAGUUGGCUGAAACAGCUGGGCUCCAGUGGACAGUUCGAGGCAGUGGUUCCCUGGACCCCUCUCUGCUCUCUUCUCUGUCUCCUCUCAGCAUUCACAUUUCUAGAAACUCUUUUAAAUGAUACUCAGAAGCAUGCUCUAAAAAUUCAUGUUCAAUUCAGUCAUGUUGUUCACUGAAGGGACAAACUUCACAUUUGUCUAUUUUAGAACCUUGAUGUAAGGAUGAUGCAGCCACUGAAAGGGAUGGGGGGAAGGAAAAAGAAAGGGGAACAGAGGAAGGAGGAAAGCAAGAAGAAAAAGGAGAACAGAUGGACUGACAUCAUCAACAGCCCCAGGGAACUCACUAAAAUACAAUGUCUUAGUGAAUGGGAUUUCUGGGGAUAGUCUUGGAAAUGUGUGUUUUAAUGAUGCUGAAGUUGAAGGCAACUCAUUCUCAGAUCUCAUCCUCUGUGUAUGCAUCAGCUAGCCAGGAAUCAUCUCUAGACAGGAGUAGAGAGGGAGGACAGACACACAUGAUACCUUUGCGGGAUUAGGAGAGGAACCAGCAAGUGAUAGACAUUCCACCCAGAUUCCAUUGCCAAAGCAAGUCAUAUGACAAGGAUCAGGAAAGAAGAGAAAUCUGUAGACUUGAGACCAAGCAUUCAGCCAACCAGAGACUUAACCAAAUAUUUAAUACAGUGCACCGGGGCUUCCUUCUCACACAUCAUCACAUUUAAGUCUCACAGCAAAUUUGAGGUGGGUGUCUUCACUUACUAGUUGAAGGAAAAGAGCUGCCUGGGUGUUGAAGUCAGGCUCAUGUUGUUACUGAGAGCUGGCUUUCUAAAGUCUAAAGUUUUAUGUAUUCUACUGCACCUAGCCUAUGUAUUCUAUUGCAUCAGGGGCUAGCCUAUGUAUUCUAUUGCAUCAGAUGCUAGCGUAUGGUUUGGUAAAGCAGACUCCUGUAUCUUUUCCAUUAUCCAAAACCAUUUCCAUGCACAGUGCAGUAUAGACCUUGCAACCCUUAUGCACCCAAGGAGAAUUAGAGAAGGCAAAAAUACUUUAGCCUAUUAAGCAGCCUCACAUAGACCAAAGACUAUAUUUUCUGUUCUCUUCUCAUGCUUUUUAUGUACCUGAAUUUUAAAGUCCACAAGCAUUGCCUUAAAAUAUCAGGUGUCCUCAGAAUUCCAUACUUGGGCUAAUUUAUAAGUGGCAAUGUCUUUGUUGUCAUUCUAGAAGCCAGCAGGGUAGACAAUGGGGUUCUUCUGUGAAUCUGAAGACACAAGCAGUGUUGGGAGCUAGAGUGAAGAAGGGAACUAAGAAUGAGAUUCCAGAAACACAACCUAGAUGACGAGGUGCUCCUCAGAGUGUGGUAUGAUACACAUAGCCUAUAGCAUUACUAUUACAUAUUUUAUCAGCCAAAGUUGAAAGAAAAUUUUAGUGUCUCUGAUGACUUACAAACUCAUACUGAAAAAAAUUAAAUCAGACCAAUACUCAUUUUAAGCAUUUUUGCAGAUUAAAUGCAAGAUGAGUGUUCUAGGAUACAUUAGAAGAGAAAAUGGGUGUAGGUAAAAGAUGCUUGUGGCUGGAGAGAUGUCUAAAUCAGUGUGUGAUCACCCUGUCAGCACCCACAUACAAAGGCAGGGACAGCAGCAGGCACCUCUAACCCCAGUACUGGGGAGGCAGAGUCAGGAAGAUGUCUGAGGCUUACUGGACAGUCAUUCUAGCCAAGUUGUUGAGCCCCGAGUUAAUGAGACUCUGUCUCAAAAAAUAUGGUAAAGAACAAUUAAGGAAGACACCCAAUGUAAACUUUUCCACUCUUACAUGUAUACAUGUGCACACACCCUCAUGAAUACAA